rnacentral:rRNA from 2 species
UUCCGGUUGAUCCUGCCGGACCUGACUGCUAUCGGAUUGAUACUAAGCCAUGCGAGUCAUUGUAGCAAUACAAGGCAUACGGCUCAGUAACGCGUAGUCAACCUAACCUAUGGACGGGAAUAACCUCGGGAAACUGAGAAUAAUGCCCGAUAGAACAUUAUGCCUGGAAUGGUUUAUGUUCCAAAUGAUUUAUCGCCGUAGGAUGGGACUGCGGCCUAUCAGUUUGUUGGUGAGGUAAUGGCCCACCAAGACUAUUACAGGUACGGGCUCUGAGAGGAGUAGCCCGGAGAUGGGUACUGAGACACGGACCCAGGCCCUAUGGGGCGCAGCAGGCGAGAAAACUUUGCAAUGUGCGAAAGCACGACAAGGUUAAUCCGAGUGGUUUCUGCUAAAGGAACCUUUUGUCAGUCCUAGAAACACUGAUGAAUAAGGGGUGGGCAAGUUCUGGUGUCAGCCGCCGCGGUAAAACCAGCACCUCAAGUGGUCAGGAUGAUUAUUGGGCCUAAAGCAUCCGUAGCCGGCUCUGUAAGUUUUCGGUUAAAUCUGUACGCUCAACGUACAGGCUGCCGGGAAUACUGCAAAGCUAGGGAGUGGGAGAGGUAGACGGUACUCGGUAGGAAGGGGUAAAAUCCUUUGAUCUAUUGAUGACCACCUGUGGCGAAGGCGGUCUACCAGAACACGUCCGACGGUGAGGGAUGAAAGCUGGGGGAGCAAACCGGAUUAGAUACCCGGGUAGUCCCAGCUGUAAACUA